rnacentral:misc_RNA from 1 species
AUUCUCACUAAUCAGGAACGAGCUAAGAUGUCAUUUUUUAAGAAGUUGAGUAGUAACCUAAAACUAUGGACUUGCCAUAAGUGCGGAAAGAAGACAGAAGCUGCUGGUGGCACUUCAUGUAACCGAUGCGGUAAGUGGGUGUGUAAUUCACAUAAAGCAUCUGGCGGAGUUUGUAAGGGCGGUUGCUAGCCAAAAUUUAAUAAAUUACAACACUUAACACAGCGCCAUAUCAGCAAUGAUAUGGCGCUUUUUUAUAUCUGA